rnacentral:rRNA from 1 species
UGGGGAAUAUUGCACAAUGGGCGCAAGCCUGAUGCAGCCAUGCCGCGUGUGUGAAGAAGGCCUUCGGGUUGUAAAGCACUCUCAGCGGGGAGGAAGGCGUUAAGGUUAAUAACCUUGGCGAUUGACGUUACCCGCAGAAGAAGCACCGGCUAACUCCGUGCCAGCAGCCGCGGUAAUACGGAGGGUGCAAGCGUUAAUCGGAAUUACUGGGCGUAAAGCGCACGCAGGCGGUCUGUCAAGUCGGAUGUGAAAUCCCCGGGCUCAACCUGGGAACUGCAUUCGAAACUGGCAGGCUAGAGUCUUGUAGAGGGGGGUAGAAUUCCAGGUGUAGCGGUGAAAUGCGUAGAGAUCUGGAGGAAUACCGGUGGCGAAGGCGGCCCCCUGGACAAAGACUGACGCUCAGGUGCGAAAGCGUGGGGAGCAAACAGG